AGUGAACGCUGGCGGUAGGCCUAACACAUGCAAGUCGAACGGCAGCACAGUAAGAGCUUGCUCUUACGGGUGGCGAGUGGCGGACGGGUGAGGAAUACAUCGGAAUCUACUUUUUCGUGGGGGAUAACGUAGGGAAACUUACGCUAAUACCGCAUACGACCUGCGGGUGAAAGCAGGGGAUCUUCGGACCUUGCGCGAUUGAAUGAGCCGAUGUCGGAUUAGCUAGUUGGCGGGGUAAAGGCCCACCAAGGCGACGAUCCGUAGCUGGUCUGAGAGGAUGAUCAGCCACACUGGAACUGAGACACGGUCCAGACUCCUACGGGAGGCAGCAGUGGGGAAUAUUGGACAAUGGGCGUAAGCCUGAUCCAGCCAUACCGCGUGGGUGAAGAAGGCCUUCGGGUUGUAAAGCCCUUUUGUUGGGAAAGAAAAGCAGCAGGUUAAUACCCCGCUGUUCUGACGGUACCCAAAGAAUAAGCACCGGCUAACUUCGUG
rnacentral:rRNA from 1 species